rnacentral:rRNA from 1 species
GAUGAACGCUGACAGAAUGCUUAACACAUGCAAGUCAACUUGAACUUCGGUUUGGGUGGCGGACGGGUGAGUAACGCGUACAGAACUUGCCUCACAGCUAGGGACAACAUUUGGAAACGAAUGCUAAUACCUGAUAUUAUGAUUUUAGGGCAUCCUAGAAUUAUGAAAGCUAUAUGCGCUGUGAGAGAGCUUUGCGUCCCAUUAGCUAGUUGGAGAGGUAACGGCUCACCAAGGCGAUGAUGGGUAGCCGGCCUGAGAGGGUGAACGGCCACAAGGGGACAGAGACACGGCCAUUACUCAUACGGGAGGCAGCAGUGGGGAAUAUUGGACAAUGGACCAAGAGUCUGAUCCAGCAAUUCUGUGUGCAAGAUGAAGUUUUUCGGAAUGUAAAGUGCUUUCAGUUGGGAAGAAAAAAAUGACGGUACCAACAGAAGAAGUGACGGCUAAAUACGUG